rnacentral:rRNA from 1 species
ACAGAGGGUGCGAGCGUUAAUCGGAGUUAUUGGGCGUAAAGGGCGCGUAGGUGGCUUUUUAAGAGAGAGGUGAAAUCCCUGGGCUUAACCUAGGAACUGCCUCUCAGACUGGGAGACUAGAGUAUUGUAGAGGGUAGUGGAAUUCCAGGUGUAGCGGUGAAAUGCGUAGAUAUCUGGAGGAACACCGGUGGCGAAGGCGGCAUCCUGGACCGAGAUCGACGCUGAGGCGCGAAAGCUAGGGGAGCAAACGGGA